GCGUGCCUAAGGGAUGGAGCCGCGGCCGAUCAGGUUGUUGGUGAGGUAAUGGCUCACCAAGCCUAUAACCGGUACGGGCCAUGAGAGUGGGAGCCCGGAGAUGGGCACUGAGACAAGGGCCCAGGCCCUACGGGGCGCAGCAGUUGCGAAACCUCCACAAUGCACGAAAGUGCGAUGGGGCUAACCCGAGUGCCGUCCGCUGAGGAGGGCUUUUCUCCGCUGUAAGGAGGCGGAGGAAUAAGGAGAGGGCAAGACUGGUGUCAGCCGCCGCGGUAAUACCAGCUCUCCGAGUGGUAGGGACGAUUAUUGGGCCUAAAGCGUUCGUAGCCGGCUUGGCAAGUCUCUCGUUAAAUCCAGUGACCUAAUCGCUAGGCUGCGGGAGAUACUGUCAGGCUUGGGAGCGGAAGAGGUCGACGGUAUUCUCGGGGCAGGGGUGAAAUCCUGUAAUCCCGGGAGGACCACCAGUGGCGAAGGCUGUCGACUAGAACGCGUCCGACGGUGAGGGACGAAAGCUGGGGGAGCGAACCGGAUUAGAUACCCGGGUAGUCCCAGCUGUAAACUAUGCGGGCUAGGUGUCAGUGUGGCUACGAGCCACUCUGGUGCCGCAGGGAAGCUCAUAAGCCCGCCGCCUGGGAAGUACGG
rnacentral:rRNA from 1 species